UACAGGGGGGGCAAGCGUUGUUCGGAAUUACUGGGCGUAAAGCGCACGUAGGCGGGUCGUUAAGUCAGGGGUGAAAUCCCAGAGCUCAACUCUGGAACUGCCUUUGAUACUGGCGACCUAGAGUUCGGAAGAGGUUAGUGGAAUUCCCAGUGUAGAGGUGAAAUUCGUAGAUAUUGGGAAGAACACCAGUGGCGAAGGCGGCUAACUGGUCCGAUACUGACGCUGAGGUGCGAAAGCGUGGGGAGCAAACAGG
rnacentral:rRNA from 1 species